rnacentral:rRNA from 1 species
GACGAACGCUGGCGGCGUGCUUAACACAUGCAAGUCGAACGGAAAGGCCCCCUUGUGGGUUCCUCGAGUUGCGAACGGGUGAGUAACACGUGAGUAACCUACCCUUGCCUUUGGGAUAACUUCAGGAAACUGGGCCUAAUACCGUAUCGGAGCUCCUGCUGCAUGGUGGGGUUUGGUAAGUUUCGGCGGUUGGGGAUGGACUCGCGGCUUAUCAGCUUGUUGGUGGGGUAGUGGCUCACCAAGGCUUUGACGGGUAGCCGGCCUGAGAGGGUGACCGGCCACAUGGGGACUGAGAGACGGCCCAGAAUCCUACGGGAGGCAGCAGUGGGGAAUAUGGCAGAAUGGGCGGAAGCCUGAUGCAGCAACGCCGCGUGCGGGAUGACGGCCUUCGGGGUGUAAACAGCUUUCGCCGGUGACGAAGCGGGAGUGACGGUAAUGGGUAAAGAAGCACCGGCUAACUACGUG